AAAAUCCGUCGACUUUAAAAAUCGUGAGGGUUCAAGUCCCUCUAUCCCCAAAAAAAAGCCUAUUUGACUCCCAAAAAAAUAUUUAACCUAUCCC
rnacentral:tRNA from 1 species